UGGAUAACCUGCCCUGUACACACGGAUAACAUACCGAAAGGUAUGCUAAUACGAGAUAAUAUGCUUUUAUCGCAUGGUAGAAGUAUCAAAGCUCUGGCGGUACAGGAUGGACCCGCGUCUGAUUAGCUAGUUGGUAAGGUAACGGCUUACCAAGGCGACGAUCAGUAGCCGACCUGAGAGGGUGAUCGGCCACAUUGGAACUGAGACACGGUCCAAACUCCUACGGGAGCAG
rnacentral:rRNA from 1 species